AUAUUGCUUGACGUCGGUGUCGGUUGCGGUGUGAGAAACAGUCCACGAGGAUCGUGCUGAGGUCGCGGGCAGGAAGGAGUGGUACGUGGAUUCAGGUUCAUGUCUGCUCUGACAGGUUCCUUUGGACGUGCACACACAUAAACACACACACACGUACAGUGAAGCUGAUGGGGAAGUGAUCUCAAGCUUUUUUGGGAAGACGCGAUCGCUAACCUGCCGGCCAGGAACAUAAAACGGACUAACAGGACUGCCCUUCCAAGUACACAAACACAUCCCAAAAACCCUGCCUUUGGAUGACCUGUUCGGAUGGGUGGAUGUUUACACUUGAUCCCGAUUCCCGGAACAGCUACCGGUAUUCGCCGCAACCCCUUGCUCAGCAGCGUUGAAGCAGCGCGUUGAAGUGUGAAAACAUGUUUUACUGCCUACCGGAGAAUCUCGCUCUGAGCUGGAAAAUUGGCUCGCAUUACUUGGCAGACACACUCUCGCACACAUGCUCAAAGAGUGCUUGUACUUUUCGGAGCCAAUUCACUUCAUCCUGAUUGAAAACCAAACGGAA